GUUAAUGUGGUUUAGUGGUUUGAGUGUGGGACUAGAACUCUGGAGAUCAGGGUUCAAUUCCCCGCUCUGCCA